UCCAGACUCCUACGGGAGGCAGCAGUGAGGAAUAUUGGUCAAUGGCCGAAGGGCUGAACCAGCCAAGCCGCGUGAAGGAAUAAGGCCCUACGGGUCGUAAACUUCUUUAGUCAGGGAACAAAGGGUGCCACGCGUGGCGCUGUGAGUGUACCUGAAGAAUAAGCAUCGGCUAACUCCGUGCCAGCAGCCGCGGUAAUACGGAGGAUGCGAGCGUUAUCCGGAUUUAUUGGGUUUAAAGGGUGCGCAGGCGGAUUUUUAAGUCAGCGGUCAAAUCGUGGGGCUCAACCCCAUCCAGCCGUUGAAACUGGGGAUCUAGAGUGUGCGAGAGGUAUGCGGAAUGCGUGGUGUAGCGGUGAAAUGCAUAGAUAUCACGCAGAACCCCGAUUGCGAAGGCAGCAUACCGGUGCACAACUGACGCUCAGGCACGAAAGCGUGGGUAUCGAACAGGAUUAGAUACCCUCGUAAUG
rnacentral:rRNA from 1 species